rnacentral:lncRNA from 10 species
GGAAAAAGGUUCCGGCCUCAGCCGGCGCACCUGGCGGAGGAGGAACCUCGCGACGCGCUCUCGGGCAUCGGUUUCUCCCAGCAAAGCUUGGAGGGUUUAGCUGCGCGGAGAGCUCAGCGAGCUCUUCUGUGUCUGUUUGGGGCGUGUGGGCUCCGGGAGCGUGAGGACCGGGAAGCUAGGAGGCUCCUUCCCUUCUGGCGGCUCCCUCACUGAGACCGGGCGGUUUGGUUGCGGGGGAAGUGGAGACGAGCCACCCUUGACCUUUGACUGCAAGAACUCACCUUGAGCAGGAUAGAGCAAACAUUGAGUGGGCCAGACACUGUUCUGAAAAAUACGCAGUCGACUUUUGAACAGCACAGGCUUGAACUGCAUGCGGCCACUAAUACUCGGACUUCCUUCUGCCUCUGCCAUCCCUAAGACAGCAAGACCCACCCCUCCUGCUCCUCAGCCUACUCGAUGUGAUGAUGAUGCAGAGAUUCAGAGAGUCUAAGCAACUUUUCUAAAUCAUCUAGCUGGAAUUCAGUAACUGAGCCAGGAUCUACCCCAGGUCUGUCUGACUCCAAAGCCUGUGUCUUCCAGCACACACUGCUGCUGCCUGGGGAAUGUGGAUAUGAUGUCUGGAGCUCUAGCAACCAUAUCAGACCACAAGGAUGAAUGUACACCCCAGGAAUGGAAGAGAGGAAAGCCAGAAAAAGACUCGGUCCCUGAUGGCUGAAGAGCUACCAUACCUGCCCCUAGAUCUUCUAUUUCUGAUCAUCUUCUAUGCAAGGCCUGGAAUGUAAUCAUGGAUAGCCAUGGAUGAUCAGCUUUCAUCAUGUGGGCAUGGAACAAGAUGGAAGGAAGCUGGGGCCCUGAGUGACCUGUGGAGCAGAGGCCUUUGCCCACCCUGGGCUGCCUGAUUUCCCCUGGACUAUCAUGAGACAGAAGAAAAAGCUUCUAUCUUAUUUGAACCACUGUGUUUUGGGAACCUUGGACUAGAGCAGCCUAGCCUUCAUACACUAACAAGGUGUAUGUGUCUGCUCUUUGUUGCUUUUGUAGAUGGUUGUGUUAUAAGCCUGAAUGCAGAAGUUGUUCCCCAGACUACUGGAUUUGCUGCCUUUUAAAACAGGUUUAUUGAACUAUAAUUGACAUACAAUGAACUGCAUAUAGGUAAAGUGUACAAUUUGAUAAGUACACUUUUUGAGCAAAUCCACCCUUUGUUCUGGAAGAAGACACUCUAUAGUCUCAGGCUGUUUCUUUACCAACAUCAACAAGCUAGUCUUAAACAGAGGAACCUCAGUGCCUCACUUUCAAGACAAUCAAGAUUAUUUCCCAACAUUCCACUAGUAGAGGGUCAGAAACAGAGUUAAAAGUUCUCAGACUAGAGGUAGAAUUGAAACCCCAGCUGAGAAGUAUCAAGGUGCCCUCCUUCCCCAAAGCUACAUAUUCUUGUGUCAGGAUCUUACCAGGAAAUGGAAGGCACAUUUACACAGGGCAGCCCAAGAGACUGUUUCAAAGGAAACCAGCAAGAUGUGACAAAGCACCCCAAGACUAGCGACACUGGGAGACCUUCUCACUUGACUUAAAAGGCUGGGGCAGGAGAGUUACAGGACCCAGUAUUAGCUGUAGCCAAAGCCUGGGCAGGGCCACCUAACAUGAGCUGCACCCUUCUGUAGAGCAGCACAGACCUUGUGCAUCUGAGGCCCAGCAGGAUGGGGCCUUGCUCAUCCUUCCCUUGCAGUUCUUGCUAAUGCUUCCUGUUGCCUGAACCCAGCUGGAAGCCAGAGGGCAAGGGAAAUCAAUUGAGACAGAUAAUGGAGGUAAUCCCCUGGGCACAGGGCAGCAUGGCAGAGGUAAGGAGUCUGUCUAGAGCCACAAAGGAAGAGGACUGAGUCCAGAGGUGAAAGCAGUCACGUAUCCCCAAAGACACCUGCUACACAUUUGGGCUUUGAUUUAUCAAUGAGAAGGCUUGAGGGACAGUGGGAAAAAUGAUGAGGAGUCAUUAGGUCCUUGUGGAAAUGGUGCCCUUGAAGGAUGAGCCUGUAAUCACUAGGUACACGUGGGUGGAUGAAUGCUGGUGAAACAGGUGGAGGGAAUGAAAGGACAGAGGCAGCACGAGAACACUGUAAGCAGAGCAGAAGUCCAUGCAAAAGCCAGAGAUGUGAGACAGCACGGGUACAUAUAGGGACCCGCAGGUGGUCUGGAGUGGCUUUGCUGUGGGUUGUGAUGAGAUAUCCACUGUGUUGGAGCUCUGGAACAAAAAGGAGGUCAUCUAAGCUGGUUGCUUCUGUUUUUUUCUUUUCUUUUUUUUCCGGAUGCAUUUCAAUUAGGUGAGGGGUACCAGGCAGAAACCCCUCCUGAAUAUAAACCCUCUGUCUUAUUGUACCAGUUAAAGAUGAACGAUGGCUCACUUCCUAUUGGGUACUAAGUUCAUUAUUUGGGUGACAGGAUCAAUAGAAGCCCAAACCUCAGCAUCAUGCAAUAUACCCAUGUGACAAACCUGUAUCCCCUAAAUCUAAAAUAAUAAUAAAAAAAGAUGUACCAUAGCUCUUAAUUGCUCUUCAAAUCACCCACACCAUUAGAGAAAGCUAUUUCCACCCCAAUCUGAAUUAAAGAAUUCUACAAUCUCCUACAGUCCGAAAGAGAGACUUCAGCUAAAGAGAAAGCUGGUGCUCCUCUUGCUAGCUGAGUGAAUUCUGAUCCUCUUUUUCAUUUUUAUUUUCUUGCUUGAACUCUGCUUUGUUAAAUCAAACACCAGCCCAAAACUGAGCCCAUGGAUCACCAUAUUGGCAGCCUUAUCCUAGAAUCUCAGGGCUGGAAAGAACUCCGAGUACAGCAUUCUCCAGUGUUGGGUGUCAACAGGAGCAGAGUUGGUCUCUUUCGAGAGCUUCCUGGAGAGUCUAUAAAAGCCUGGCUUUUGAACUCUUAUAUUUGGAGGCUGAGAUUCAGAAGGCCUGGGGUGGGGCUUGAGAAUAUAAAUUCUUUAAAAAAAUUUUUUUCUUUUCCUUAGAUAAAUCUUAGAAACCAAAGGGAAUUGAAUUCUUAAGAGGACUUGAAAAUGAUUCUAAUAUAGUCGGGUUAGGGGAAAUCUGGUCUUGAGCUUUUUCUUGGGAGAUGUGGUGAGUCCAAGGCAAGCCAGGCUUCAAUUCUGAAUCUACACUCUUCCCACACAUCUAUGUGGCCUCUGUGCCGAGUCUGAGUUUUAUGUUUUACAAAGAAAACUAGGAGAAAAACUGUUAUUCUUCUGAUUAACAGAAAAGUUGUCCAACUGGCUACACUUGAAUUAUAUCCCCUGAUUAUUAAACUCAGGCUUCUUUAGUUUUCAUUUAUUUUAUUUCAUUGCAUGGAGAUGUUUUAAAAGAGGAAGGCAAGGGGUGUGGGGGAAGGAUUCUGGGAUAGCGACCAUUCUCACCACAUGCAGAAGGCCAAUACUGCUUCCAGAAGGAGACACAAGGAAUCCUUCACUGAGUGAAAGUUUUUUUUCUUCCAGAGAAUAUCAGUAUUCCUACUUUAUAACAAGCCAGGAGCUUUUUCUGCUUCCUGAUUUAAAAAUUGAUUCCUGACUGCAUAGUUCUCACACAAUAGCUUCCUUCUUGCAGGGGCAGUGUGAUUGCCUGGAAUAUAAAUUCUUAGUGGGUUGACCAGGGAUCACGAGCAGUUAUUAUGUUCUCUGCUGCUCUUAACAUGUUGUGAUUCUCAAUAAAUAAUCCAGAGCCAAAGCAUGGUGUUUUGUUUUGCUUUGUCUCAGUGAGUUUUCCAAACUGUAUUUACUAUCUCAAAGUGAGAGCAUCGCAGUUUUCUGAGCCAACUGCAGCAAUUUUCCAGAUCUGGAGAGUAUUUUUGAAGAUUAUUUCUUUGGAGAUUUUCUCUCUUAUUUGGUUUGUUUCCUCUUUGAUAAUUUUUAUUAUUCAUAUGUUGAAUUUUUUGAGCAGAGCUUUAAUUUUCUUAUCUUUUCUCCUCCUUUUUUCCAUUUUUUUCUUUGCCACUUUUCUCCCCCUUCUGGGAUAUUUUCUCAAAUUUUUUCUUCUAAACUUUUAUCUUUUCUGUGAUUAUAAUUUUAAAUUCCAAAAUACCUUUUUUUGGAGAGGGGAGUGGAGGGAAGUGUUCUCUGACUGUUCCUUUUAUAUAGUAGCCUGUUCUUAUUUCAUGGAUGUAAUAUCUUUCCUCUUUCUUUUAUAGUCUGUUUUCCCCAAGUUACUUUUUUCCCUUGUUUGUUUAUUUGUGUCUCUGUAUUUCAUCUCGGAGCAUUCCUUAGGUGUUUGGUGAUUUCCUCCUUCUCCCUCUCUCUGCUCCCUGCAUUGUUAUAAUUAUCUCUGAGCUGACCUCCCAACUUAGGUCUUUCUCAUUUUCUAGUAAACUUGGCAUAAUCCUGUGAAACCCAUCUUUUUUAAGCCCCCAAUUCAACAUGUGAUUCUGUUGGUGAAAAGCCUUCCAUGGCUCCAUAUUUCCCACUUCAUCAGAACUUAACUUUGCCAUUUUUGACAUUUUCAGUCUCUGACCCCACUCAGGCUAGGCACCAUACCUCUUGCCUCAGAAUGUGGAUACUCUUGUGUGUUCAGAGUUGGAGAUUAGGAAAUAAUACUAUUAAAAGUAAUAGCAAUCGAUGAUAAAGCCUUCAUAUGCUUUAUUCACAGACAUUACUGACUUCUCCUGUUAGCUCUGUCGUGCUUACAUCAUGAUGCCCAUUUUUCAGGUAAAGAAAUAGUGGCUCAAACAAG